rnacentral:tRNA from 1 species
GAGGGUAUAGCUCGGUGGUACAGUGUGUGCUUAGCAUGCAUGAGGUCCUGGGUUCAAUCCCCAGUCCCUCCA